rnacentral:rRNA from 1 species
AUUGAACGCUGGCGGCAGGCCUAACACAUGCAAGUCGAACGAGUGGCGGACGGGUGAGUAAUGUCUGGGAACCUAGCUUAUGGAGGGGGAUAACUACGGGAAACUGUAGCUAAUACCGCGUACCAUAGGAUGAGCCCAAGUGGGAUUAGUUAGUUGGUGAGGUAAAGGCUCACCAAGGCGACGAUCCCUAGCUGGUCUGAGAGGAUGACCAGCCACACUGGAACUGAGACACGGCCCAGACUCCUACGGGAGGCAGCAGUGGGGAAUAUUGCACAAUGGGCGCAACCCUGACGCAGCCAUGCCGCGUGGAUGAAGAAGGCCUUCGGGUUGUAAAGUUCUUUCGGUAGGGAGGCGUUAACUACAGAAGAAGCACCGGCUAACUCCGUGCCAGCAGCCGCGGUAAUAC